GUUGAAACAUCGGUUCGCGUACGAUCAGAGAAGUUAAGCAACGUCAAGCCUGGUCAGUACCUAGAUAGGCGAGAGCUUGGGAAUACCGGAUGUUGUAAG